GGAGAUUUAGCUCAGUGGUAGAGCACUUGCAUAGCAAGCGCAAGGCCCUGGGUUCGGUCCCCAGCUCCG
rfam:Rattus norvegicus chromosome 10, whole genome shotgun sequence.